rnacentral:rRNA from 1 species
GACGAACGCUGGCGGCGUGCUUAACACAUGCAAGUCGAACGGAAAGGCCCUGCUUUUGUGGGGUGCUCGAUUGGCGAACGCGUGAGUAACACGUGAGUAACCUGCCCUUGACUUUGGGAUAACUUCAGGAAACUGGGGCUAAUACCGGAUAGGAUCUCCUGCUGCAUGGGGUUGGUUGGAAAGUUUCGGCGGUUGUGGAUGGACUCGCUGCUUAUCAGCUUGUUGGUGGGGUAGUGGCUUACCAAGGGUUUGACGGGUAGCCGGCCUGAGAGGGUGAACGGGCACAUUGGGCCUGCGAUAGGGAGCAGAAUCCUACGGGAGGCAGUAGGGGGGAAUCUUGCACAAUGGGCGGAAGCCAGAUGCAGCAACGCCGCGUGCGGGAUGACGGCCUUCGGGUUGUAAACCGAUUUGGAAUGUGACGAAGAGGGAGUGACGGUAAUGGGUAAAGAAGCACCGGCUAACUACGUG